GACGACCGCUGGCGGCGUGCUUAACACAUGCAAGUCGAACGGAAAGGCCCUGCUUUUGUGGGGUGCUCGAAUGGCGAACGGGUGAGUAACACGUGAGUAACCUGCCCUUGACUUUGGGAUAACUUCAGGAAACUGGGGCUAAUACCGGAUAGGAGCUCCUGCUGCAUGGUGGGGGUUGGAAAGUUUCGGCGGUUGGGGAUGGACUCGCGGCUUAUCAGCUUGUUGGUGGGGUAGUGGCUUACCAAGGCUUUGACGGGUAGCCGGCCUGAGAGGGUGACCGGCCACAUUGGGACUGAGAUACGGCCCAGACUCCUACGGGAGGCAGCAGUGGGGAACAUUGCACAAUGGGCGGAAGCCUGAUGCAGCAACGCCGCGUGCGGGAUGACGGCCUUCGGGUUGUAAACCGCUUUCGCCUGUGACGAAGCGUGAGUGACGGUAAUGGGUAAAGAAGCACCGGCUAACUACGUG
rnacentral:rRNA from 1 species